rnacentral:sRNA from 1 species
AAACUUAGAGGAGAGUAAAGAUCAUGGCUCCUUACAAGUGACCAAAAAAAGUAGGCAUCUUACCGUGCCAUGGUGUGUGAGAAUUAGACGGAUGAUAUCUUUUGACCUGCUCAUCCUCGUCUUGCUGCUGGCCUGUGGGAGAACGUUGAGACUUUGACAAGGGAGGUGACAUGUGGGGUUCCAGAUGAGGACGAGAUUGAUGAAGCUGGUAUGUUUUUAGUUGGAAUAACAAAGUUUCAGAUGGUGCAUUUGAAGAUGGCGACGAGGAGUUAAAAGAGCUAUCCAAGCAGACGAAAAGAAUAUCCACUGAAAUUGGACCGAGCAGCUUUGCUUCAAGGAAUAAGAUGAGUAAAAAGAGCACGACAUGAUCCGCCAAGUGGCUUAUCUGCAAUUUACGAGAUUAAAGACUUGAAGAAAGAACUGUGAUAAAGAUUAAUUCGUUCUAGCAAUUUUUGAAGUAUUUGCUUAGGUAUUAUUUCCUUUUGAAGGUUGUAUUUUUUCCUCUAGUAAUGUUAUUAGAC